AUUGAACGCUGGCGGCAUGCCUUACACAUGCAAGUCGAACGGUAACGGGCCUUCGGGUGCCGACGAGUGGCGAACGGGUGAGUAAUGCAUCGGAACGUACCUUUCAGUGGGGGAUAACGUAGCGAAAGUUACGCUAAUACCGCAUAUUCUGUGAGCAGGAAAGCAGGGGAUCGCAAGACCUUGCGCUGAUUGAGCGGCCGAUGUCAGAUUAGCUAGUUGGUGAGGUAAAGGCUCACCAAGGCGACGAUCUGUAGCGGGUCUGAGAGGAUGAUCCGCCACACUGGAACUGAGACACGGUCCAGACUCCUACGGGAGGCAGCAGUGGGGAAUUUUGGACAAAUGGGGGGCAACCCUGAUCCAGCCAUGCCGCGUGAGUGAAGAAGGCCCUUGGGUUGGUUAAAGUACGUCUUUCGGUCCGGG
rnacentral:rRNA from 1 species